rnacentral:misc_RNA from 1 species
AGGCCAAUUAAGUUGUUUGAUACAUAUAUACAAUUUAAUUAGCUUAGGAGAAUAAUUUACGAUGAUGUCAAUGUGAAAAAAUGGUAUAUAACCGAGGCUGGAUGAGAGAAUUGAAGCACUAUUGCACCAAUAAUAAAAGAAAACGCAAUCCCUCAUUAACAUUUAUAGGAAGUAAAGCCAUGUGCUUCCGAGUGGAUUGCAGACAAUGUGGGAAGUACUCAUGGGGUGGAUGUGGCAAACACCUUGCCACUCUCUAUAACAGCAUAGACGAGGGAAAGCACUGCAUGUGCCGGCCAUGGCCUGGCGUUGUCAGCCGAACUGAGGAGAAAGCUACCGGUCAACAACCACCAAAAACUUUAGCAGCUUCCGCUUCAACAACCACAGCAGGUGUUGAAAAAUCUUCAAAGAUGGGUGUUGGACAGCAAGUGCUUUAUUAGAGGGUCAUGAUGGGGCUAUUACCACCUUACCUUACCACAAUAUAUUUGUCAAAGCUUGGCUAUGGAACAGUGAUAUAAUUAGAAAUAAUGUAAUAGGGUAACUAUGGUCAAUGUUGUAUUGACCAAUCCUAUUCCUGUUUUUU